rnacentral:rRNA from 1 species
CCUACGGGAGGCAGCAGUGAGGAAUAUUGGUCAAUGGCCGGAAGGCUGAACCAGCCAUGCCGCGUGAAGGUCAGUGCCCUAUGGGCGUUAAACUUCUUUUGUGCGGGAGCAAUAAUGGUCACGUGUGGCCAGACGAUUGUACCGUACGAAUAAGCAUCGGCUAACUCCGUGCCAGCAGCCGCGGUAAUACGGGGGGUGCAAGCGUUAUCCGGAUUUAUUGGGUUUAAAGGGUGCGUAGGCUGGGCGGUAAGUCAGCGGUGAAAUGCCCCCGCUCAACGGGGUGAAGUGCCAUUGAUACUGCUUUGCUGGAAUGCGGAUGCCGUGGGAGGAAUGUGUGGUGUAGCGGUGAAAUGCAUAGAUAUCACACAGAACACCGAGUGCGAAGGCAUCUCACGAAUCCGCGAUUGACGCUGAUGCACGAAAGCGUGGGUAUCAAACAGGAUUAGAUACCCGAGUAGUC